UGAUCCUGCCAGUAGUCAUAUGCUUGUCUCAAAGAUUAAGCCAUGCAUGUCUAAGUAUAAGCAAUUUAUACAGUGAAACUGCGAAUGGCUCAUUAAAUCAGUUAUAGUUUAUUUGAUAGUACCUUACUACUCGGAUACCCGUGGUAAUUCUAGAGCUAAUACGUGCUAAAAACCCCGACUGCUUGGGAGGGGUGUAUUUAUUAGAUAAAAAAUCAAUGCCUUCGGGCUCUUUGAUGAUUCAUAAUAACUUCUCGAAUCGCAUGGCUUCAUGCCGGCGAUGGUUCAUUCAAAUUUCUGCCCUAUCAACUGUCGAUGGUAGGAUAGUGGCCUACCAUGGUGGCAACGGGUAACGGGGAAUAAGGGUUCGAUUCCGGAGAGGGAGCCUGAGAAACGGCUACCACAUCCAAGGAAGGCAGCAGGCGCGCAAAUUACCCAAUCCUAAUUCAGGGAGGUAGUGACAAUAAAUAACGAUACAGGGCCCUUAUGGGUCUUGUAAUUGGAAUGAGUACAAUGUAAAUACCUUAACGAGGAACAAUUGGAGGGCAAGUCUGGUGCCAGCAGCCGCGGUAAUUCCAGCUCCAAUAGCGUAUAUUAAAGUUGUUGCAGUUAAAAAGCUCGUAGUUGAACUUUGGGCUUGGUAGGCCGGUCCGCUUUUUGGCGUGUACUGGUCCCUACCGAGCCUUUCCUUCUGGCUAACUAUCCCUCAGGGUAGCGAACCAGGACUUUACUUUGAAAAAAAUUAGAGUGUUCAAAGCAGGCCUUUGCUCGAAUAUAUUAGCAUGGAAUAAUAGAAUAGGACGUUUGGUUCUAUUUUGUUGGUUUCUAGGACCAUCGUAAUGAUUAAUAGGGACGGUCGGGGGCAUCAGUAUUCAGUUGUCAGAGGUGAAAUUCUUGGAUUUACUGAAGACUAACUACUGCGAAAGCAUUUGCCAAGGACGUUUUCAUUAAUCAAGAACGAAAGUUAGGGGAUCGAAGAUGAUCAGAUACCGUCGUAGUCUUAACCAUAAACUAUGCCGACUAGGGAUCGGGUGUUGUUUUAUAAUGACUCACUCGGCACCUUACGAGAAAUCAAAGUCUUUGGGUUCUGGGGGAGUAUGGUCGCAAGGCUGAAACUUAAAGGAAUUGACGGAAGGGCACCACCAGGAGUGGAGCCUGCGGCUUAAUUUGACUCAACACGGGGAAACUCACAGGUCCAGACACAAUAAGGAUUGACAGAUUGAGCUCUUUCUUGAUUUUGUGGGUGGUGGUGCAUGGCCGUUCUUAGUUGGUGGAGUGAUUUGUCUGCUUAAUUGCGAUAACGAACGAGACCUUAACCUACUAAAUAGUGCGAGCUAAUGCUAGCUUUUGCUGGUAUUGACACUUCUUAGAGGGACUAUCGAUUUCAAGUCGAUGGAAGUUUGAAGGCAAUAAAUAGUGAAUUUGGCAGGUCCUGUGACUGAGAUAAUGUAUUAGUUCCCACCAACUCGCCCUUAGACGUUCUGGGCCGCAGACACAAUAAGGAUUGACAGAUUGAGAGCUCUUCUUGAUUUUGUGGGUGGUGGUGCAUGGCCGUUCUUAGUUGGUGGAGUGAUUUGUCUGCUUAAUUGCGAUAACGAACGAGACCUUAACCUACUAAAUAGUGCGACUAGCUUUUGCU
rnacentral:rRNA from 1 species